AUUGAACGCUGGCGGCAUGCCUUACACAUGCAAGUCGAACGGUAACAGGUCUUCGGACGCUGACGAGUGGCGAACGGGUGAGUAAUACAUCGGAACGUGCCCAGUCGUGGGGGAUAACUACUCGAAAGAGUAGCUAAUACCGCAUACGAUCUGAGGAUGAAAGCGGGGGACCUUCGGGCCUCGCGCGCUUGGAGCGGCCGAUGGCAGAUUAGGUAGUUGGUGGGAAAAAAGCUUACCAAGCCGACGAUCUGUAGCUGGUCUGAGAGGACGACCAGCCAAACUGGGACUGAGACACGGCCCAGACUCCUACGGGAGGCAGCAGUGGGGAAUUUUGGACAAUGGGCGAAAGCCUGAUCCAGCAAUGCCGCGUGCAGGAUGAAGGCCUUCGGGUUGUAAACUGCUUUUGUACGGAACGAAAAAGCUCCUCCUAAUACGAGAGGCCCAUGACGGUACCGUAAGAAUAAGCACCGGCUAACUACGUGCCAGCCGCCGCAGUAAGAC
rnacentral:rRNA from 1 species